UACGUAGGGGCCGAGCGUUGUCCGGAGUUAUUGGGCGUAAAGCGCGCGCAGGCGGCUUGGCGCGCCCGACGUGAAAGCCCCCGGCUUAACCGGGGAGAGUCGUCGGGGACGGCCGGGCUUGAGGGCGGGAGAGGGUGGUGGAAUUCCCGGUGUAGUGGUGAAAUGCGUAGAGAUCGGGAGGAACACCUGUGGCGAAGGCGGCCACCUGGGCCGACCCUGACGCUGAGGCGCGAAGGCGUGGGGAGCGAACGAG
rnacentral:rRNA from 1 species